rfam:Pseudorhodoferax sp. Leaf267 contig_2, whole genome shotgun sequence.
GGCGUGGGAUCGGGAGAGUCCGCACCGCAGCAGCUGCUGCGGUCGGCGCCGAAGGAGCAACCGCCCCGGAAUCUCUCAGGCACCAGGACCGGCCCCACGAA